rnacentral:rRNA from 1 species
UACGAAGGGGACUAGCGUUGUUCGGAAUUACUGGGCGUAAAGCGCACGUAGGCGGGUUGCUAAGUCAGGGGUGAAAUCCUGGAGCUCAACUCCAGAACUGCCUUUGAUACUGGCGGCCUUGAGUCCGGGAGAGGUGAGUGGAACUGCGAGUGUAGAGGUGAAAUUCGUAGAUAUUCGCAAGAACACCAGUGGCGAAGGCGGCUCACUGGCCCGGUACUGACGCUGAGGUGCGAAAGCGUGGGGAGCAAACAGG